ACGUUGGCGGCGGACGGGUGAGUAACACGUGGGUAACCUACCUAUAAGACUGGGAUAACUUCGGGAAACCGGAGCUAAUACUGGAUAAUAUUUCGAACCGCAUGGUUCGAUAGUGAAAGGUGGUUUUGCUAUCACUUAUAGAUGGACCCGCGCCGUAUUAGCUAGUUGGUAAGGUAACGGCUUACCAAGGCGACGAUACGUAGCCGACCUGAGAGGGUGAUCGGCCACACUGGAACUGAGACACGGUCCAGACUCCUACGGGAGGCAGCAGCC
rnacentral:rRNA from 1 species